rnacentral:rRNA from 1 species
GACAGAGGGUGCAAACGUUGUUCGGAAUUACUGGGCGUAAAGGGCUCGUAGGCGGCCAACUAAGUCAGACGUGAAAUCCCUCGGCUUAACCGGGGAACUGCGUCUGAUACUGGUUGGCUUGAGGUUGGGAGAGGGAUGCGGAAUUCCAGGUGUAGCGGUGAAAUGCGUAGAUAUCUGGAGGAACACCGGUGGCGAAGGCGGCAUCCUGGACCAAUUCUGACGCUGAGGAGCGAAAGCCAGGGGAGCAAACGGG